UUGGAUUAGCUUUCCUAGCUGAAAAAGUUCAACAAAUAUAUCGUCUUCCUCAUUAUCUUUUACUUUCGAUUUCCCAUUUGGUGUAGCCAAAGGGGAAUUACUCUGAUUUGUUGAUGUGAACUGUACAUUUUCGUACAUCCCGUCCCCACUCGGCGGCUGGGAGUAAGUGGUUUCCUCGUCAUUGAAAAAUGAAUCCGUAAAGUUUGGUAGUCGGGAUUCACACAGAUUGCAGUAGAAGUAGUCGUCAGAUUUACCAAGACUCAUCUGGUGGUGGCAUAAAUAAGUUGAUAAAACUGCAUUAAAAGGAUAAAAAUUUGGGACAGUUGGAAUCCACGUAUUCCCGCCAUCUUGUCACUCACUCACUAUGGUAGCUGUUUCCCGUUAUGUUGUCGUGGCAUAUCUUUUGUGAUGGAGGCGUUCGCGCACACCAAGUCAACUGAUUCUAUAUGUAUUAGUGUAUUGCCAGUGAAUUUGAAACUGUUCUGUGCAAUUGAACUGUGACUGAAUUUGUGAAACUGUGACUGUUGUUAAAUGAUUGCUAUUAUCACAACUCCCAUGAUCCAUAUCUAUUCACAAUUGUGUUGCCAGUGAAUUUGAAACUGUUCUGUGGUUUGUGACUGUGAUUUGGUGAAACUUGCUGUUGUAAAAAUGAGUGCUUUUAUCAUAAUGCAUUGCAUAAUUGAGCUAAAUAUUGAAUUUAACAUACUCUAAUUAAGUAACCAUCCGCGGUUGACCCAGGGUGGUCAUUUCGGAACUUGUUGAUCAUGUUGCAUUUUAUGUUGAUGUUGCUUUUUGUGUAGGUUUGCCCAUAUGAGUUGUUAUUGAAUGGCAUCCCACAAAUUCUUGCUUUAUGCCACGGCCAAUACUCGACAAAUAAAGUUUAAACUGAA